rnacentral:ncRNA from 1 species
AUUCUGGUUGAUCCUACCAGUAAUAUACGCUUGUCUCAAAGGUUAAGCCAUGCAUGUCUAAGUACAAACAGAUUUAAUGUGAAACCGCAUAAGGCUCAGUAUAACAGCUAUAAUUUAUUUUGUGCGAUUGGCCAAAAGUUCUAGAAAAUAUUGUGGAUUUGACAUCUAGUGAAAUGGUUCCCAAAAUAGCAUAGACCAUGGACUUACCAGUAAUGCCAGAUACCUCCAAGAAUCUUCCAAGAGAACUCAAAUCGGUUGACAGACGGCUGAGAAACGUGCGUGACUUUUUUUUGUAACGCACAUACACACACACACACAUACACACAUAC